AUUGAACGCUGGCGGCAGGCCUAACACAUGCAAGUCGAGCGGUAACAGUCCUUCGGGAGCUGACGAGCGGCGGACGGGUGAGUAACGCGUAGGAAUCUACCCAGUAGCGGGGGAUAGCCCGGGGAAACUCGGAUUAAUACCGCAUACGCCCGAAGGGGGAAAGCAGGGGAUCUUCGGACCUUGUGCUAUUGGAUGAGCCUGCGUUGGAUUAGCUAGUUGGUAGGGUAAAGGCCUACCAAGGCGACGAUCCAUAGCUGGUCUGAGAGGAUGAUCAGCCACACUGGGACUGAGACACGGCCCAGACUCCUACGGGAGGCAGCAGUGGGGAAUAUUGGACAAUGGGGGCAACCCUGAUCCAGCCAUGCCGCGUGUGUGAAGAAGGCCUUCGGGUUGUAAAGCACUUUAAGUAGGGAGGAAGGCUCUGUGGCUAAUAUCCACGGGGAUUGACGUUACCUACAGAAUAAGCACCGGCUAACUCCGUGCCAGCCGCCGCCGUAACAC
rnacentral:rRNA from 1 species